UGUGGGAGCGGGCUUGCUCGCGAUGUAGGCGAUGCGGUUUGUCAGAAUAACCGCGUCGAUGCUAUCGCGAGCAAGCCCGCUCCCACG
rnacentral:antisense_RNA from 1 species